UACGAAGGGUGCAAGCGUUAAUCGGAAUUACUGGGCGUAAAGCGUGCGCAGGCGGUUUUGUAAGCCAGAUGUGAAAGCCCCGGGCUCAACCUGGGAAUGGCAUUUGGGACUGCAAGGCUUGAGUGCGGCAGAGGAGACUGGAAUUCCUGGUGUAGCAGUGAAAUGCGUAGAUAUCAGGAGGAAUACCGAUGGCGAAGGCAGGUCUCUGGGCUGACACUGACGCGCAUGC
rnacentral:rRNA from 1 species